rnacentral:rRNA from 1 species
GACGAACGUUGGCGGCGUGCUUAAUACAUGCAAGUCAACUGAAGCAGUGGUAGCAAUAUCGCUGUGGAGGUGGCGCACGGGUGAGUAGCACGUAGGUAAUCUGCCUUCAGGUCUGGCAUAACUCCGGGAAACCGGGGCUAAUAGCAGAUGAUGCAGCGGCUCGACAUCGAGACAGUUGUUAAAGCUAUGGCGCCUGAAGAUGAGCCUGCGUCUGAUUAGCUAGUUGGCGGGGUAACGGCCCACCAAGGCAACGAUCAGUAGCUGGUCUGAGAGGAUGAUCAGCCACACUGGAACUGAGACACGGUCCAGACUCCUACGGGAGGCAGAAGUAAGGAAUAUUGCUCAAUGGGAGAAAUCCUGAAGCAGCAACGCCGCGUGAGGGACGAAGGGCGUUUGCUUGUAAACCUCUGUAGUGAGAGAAAAAAAUCCCAAUCUUUGGGACAUGAUGGUAUCUCAAAAGUAAGCCCCGGCUAACUACGUG